ACCAGCGGCAGCUAAACAGCCCUCUGCCGGCUUCCAAAGGGCUUGUAAUUGAGUGCAGAUGGCCCCGGCAGGAAAACAACCCACGCUUAUUCGGCAGACAAGUCAAACAGUGAAAACCAAUGAAAGUACACCCACUUGGUGGCAGCGAUUACCAUCUUGCCUUUCUCCCUGGAGCUCGGGCAGGUGUCCUGAGUACCUGGAGGGAAGAACACCUGUGUUUUCUAUUCCUCCCACGUGGACCCAGAUUUGUGCAACUCUACCCUUUGCUCCUUAUGCAUGCAUGCUAAGUCGCUGCAGUUGUGUUCGGCUCUGUGCGACCCUAUGGUCUGUAGCCUGGCAGGCUCCUCUGUCC
ensembl:lncRNA